AGUGGGCAACGGUCCAUCCUGUGGAAUGUGUCCCCAUCCACAGGUUGGUUCCUGUCCUGUGGUCUGAGAAAUGGUAACUAGCCUCUCCCUUCCUGAGGCGCAUGUGUUUCAUGACCUUCACAAAGUUCCUGAGCUGACCUUUCAUUCCCACUUUUUAUUCUAUGAGAUUCAUUGUAUCCAGUUUUAUGUUGAGGUCCUUGAUCCACUCAUACUUUAAUUCUGUGCAGGGUGGUAAAUAGGAAUCUAUUUUCAUUUUUCUACAUGCAGAUAUCCAGUUAGACCAGUACCAUUUCUUGAAGAUGUUCUCUUUUUUUCCAUUAUUUGCUUUUCUUUCUUUAUCAAAAAAUCAAAUGAGUUUAUUUGUGGGUCUUUGGGUCGAUUCCAUUGGUCCACAUAACUGUUUUUGUACCAAUAUCAUGCAGUUUUCAUCACUAUUGCUUGAGCAAUAGUGCAGCUUAAGUUGAGAGAUGGUGAUUCCUAUUAAGUUCUUUAGUUGUUUAGGAUUGCUUUGACUUUCUUUGUUUUUUUUCCCCCCUAUGAAAUUGAAAUUUCGCUUUCAAGAUUUAUAAAAAAUUGUGUUAGAAUGUUAAUGGGGUUACACAGAACAUGUAGAUUGCUUUUGGCAACUUGGAUAUAUUCACUAUAUUAAUCCUAUCUAUCCAAUGUUUGGCUAUGAAUAUCUGCAUUUGUCUCAUUCAGCUACUGGUAGAGCUGUCUGCAGGAAUAGCAUAACAUCAGUAAUAAUGUUAGGGUUUGCUGACCACCCAGGAGAUGGAUCCCAAGUUGGGCCAAAAAAUAUUCAGCCAUUUGUUCAUGCUCUGCUCCAUUUUUGUCCUCCCAUUUUUUUUUAGAAAGGAACAAUUUUGAGUGGAAAUUUUUGAAUGUGAGGGUCUCCACUGGGGUGGAGGAGGUCUCUUCAGGUUCCUUAUUCCCUCUGUUGCACAUUUUGACAUUUUACCCUAUUAUGUCCCCAGAGCCUCCCCUUAGAGUUUCUACUCUAAGGGGAUUCUUGUCAGUCAUUGGUAUGCCAAAUGUCAGUGCCCUUGUAGUAAGGAAGCUACCUCCUAAAGAAUUGAAACUGGACUAUUAUAUUUAUUUAUAAAGCUUUAAGGGAACAAUAAGCGAGCAGUUUUAUUCUAUUUUCAUUCUCUGAGUUAAUCUGACCAAUUCCCAGUAAAAAAAAAUCCAGUGAUACUGCAUUUUUGCACUGGUCUGUGUUUCUAGGCUAGGGGUGUUUUCUCCUGAUGACUCCUGGACGAUCUCCAGACUGAAUCCCCACUCCCAUUAUCCUUUUCCAUGUUAUGGUUGGAGGAGGCCCUGCAUUAUUUGAUCACCUGCUUAGUCAUGUACUUACUAGGUUUUAUUCAAAAAUUUCAGAGAAUUAAUGUGUAGCAAUGCUUAUAUAAUAUUGAGACAGGAAAUACAAGAAAUAAUGAGUGCAAUCAGUUAUGGUGGCUAUCUGUGUGUGAAUAAUACAAUGAUAAGUUUUUGCACAGUGUACAAUAACAUGACAAAAAUUGCUAGCUUACAAUUUUUGUAUUUUUUUAGUGUUCUUGAUUUUGUCUUUAUUUUAGAAAGCAAUACAUGUCUGUGUAGCAUUGGCUGUCCUCAGAGUAGGGGCGCAAACAAGGUAGGCCUCAGACUUAGAGAUCAACCUGAGUCUGGCCCAUGGAUACGUGUAUUAAAUGCGGAACAACAUGCCUGUCAUUGUUGCUUGUUCCACAUUUGUACUUACACUGUUGGCUGAUGGACCUGGAACGUAGGUUUUUGUACCUGUCAAACGUGCUAAUAGGCUGAGCUUCACCCACAUCUUGAUUUGUUAAAUUUGGUGGAGAGUAUUGUUCUGUUUUCCAGUUUGGCAUGUAUUGAUGACAUUAGGACUUCCUAAACUUCAAUUGUCAUUGAACUGUAGGUACGUGACAUUCUUCCUGCCUGUAGUGUUGGGUUUGAAUUGAAGUUGAAAAAAAUGUGAGUAUUUUGGCUGUAUGCAUACAUAUGCAUCUCAUGUGUGUGUGGUUUUCUUCACAAGCCAGAUGAUGGCCUCAGGACUCAUGAAAUUAUAGUACAGGUUACUUAUGAUCUCUUAUGUAAGUACUGCCUAUGGGCACACUUCUUUGCAGGAACAGCAACUGUUCUUCACUAAUGAGCCCGCUUUCCAUCUCUAUGUCAUUUAUUUAUCAUAAAAAUUUACAUUGCUGAUAUUUUCACCUGUGCAUGUAAACAUGUUUUAAUAAGAUAUUACUUAAUGUUACAAUUAAAACUAGGUCACCUCAAGUUCUGGAAGAUGAAUAUACAACUGGGGUGAAUAUAUAAUUCAUUUUAAGAACUUCAGUAAAAUUCUAAUUUGUUUCUUUCUUGUGGUUUGAUUCUUUGAUUUUUUUUGCAAGGGAUACUGGGUCAUAGUGUACAACUGUGACUGUCCUAGAAAUCAUUGUCUAGACCAAGCUGGUAUC
rnacentral:lncRNA from 1 species